AAAGCUUUAAGUUAAAAUAUUAAACUAUUAACCUUCAAAGUUAAAUAUGUAUAGCGAAGUUAUAUAAGCUUUA
rnacentral:tRNA from 1 species